rnacentral:rRNA from 1 species
UGGGGAAUAUUGCACAAUGGGCGCAAGCCUGAUGCAGCCAUGCCGCGUGUAUGAAGAAGGCCUUCGGGUUGUAAAGUACUUUCAGCGGGGAGGAAGGGAGUAAAGUUAAUACCUUUGCUCAUUGACGUUACCCGCAGAAGAAGCACCGGCUAACUCCGUGCCAGCAGCCGCGGUAAUACGGAGGGUGCAAGCGUUAAUCGGAAUUACUGGGCGUGAAGCGCACGCAGGCGGUUUGUUAAGUCAGAUGUGAAAUCCCCGGGCUCAACCUGGGAACUGCAUCUGAUACUGGCAAGCUUGAGUCUCGUAGAGGGGGGUAGAAUUUCAGGUGUAGCGGUGAAAUGCGUAGAGAUCUGGAGGAAUACCGGUGGCGAAGGCGGCCCCCUGGACGAAGACUGACGCUCAGGUGCGAAAGCGUGGGGAGCAAACAGG